rnacentral:lncRNA from 1 species
GCACUUCUUGCUGCCAACAUGUGAAGAAAGACGUGUUUGCUUCCCCUUCCACCAUGAUUGUAAAAUCAACAAGGAAGGUGAUGAGCACAGCAGUGUGAAGUUCCUGGCAACCAUCAUUCUCCUUUUUGUCUCCAUGAUUUUGAAUACUCUAAGUACCUCAAAUUAUAGCCAUCCUAAUGGGUGUCAUUUUCAUGCGCGUCCAUGUGAAGAGACCACCAAACAGGCUUUGUGUGAGCAACAAGGCUGUUUAUUUCACCUGGGUGCAGAGGUGGGAAGGCCAAACCGAAGAAUUAUGUCUGACAGAAGGGAAGAAAUGACCGCGGUGACCUUCUCAGACCCUGUGGGAAAGACCUCUACCUAUCCAGUGAAAGUGUCUACCCAGACUAAGAGGGGGCUUCCGAGGCGAUUGGGCAGGAUCAGUCUUCAGCCACUAAGCCGAGAAGAUCUGGGAAGGAGUCAGAGAGCCUUGGGCCACAGUUCCAGGGGCUCUGAGAGUGGCUGCCAGCCUACUCACUGUGAAGACAAUGAGGGUGAAAACCUUCAUGAUGAUCCACUUCCACUUCAUGAACAGGAAAUAUGUUUUUUCUCUUCCUUAUGAUUUUUAAAAAACAUUUUCUUUUCUCUUGCAUGCUUGAUUGUAAGAGUGCAGUACAUAUUAUAUAUAUAUAUACAUAAAAAUAUACAAAAUAUGUGUUAAUCAGCUAUGUGUUAGCCAACUAUGUUAUUAAUGUAAGACUUUUUAUGAUUUUCUAUAUAACAUUUUCUUUUUUCUAGCUUACUUUAUUAUAGGAAUACAGUAUACAGUACAUACAACAUGCAAAAUCAGUGUUAAUCAACAGUUUAUGUUAUUGGCAAGGCUUCAGGUCAAUAGUAGG